GCAUAUCGAUGUGAGACAUCACUUCCUUAGGGACUGUGUUGAGAAGGGGUGAAUUAAGAUAAUGAACUAUGGAACUGACAACCAAAUAGCUAAUAUCUUCACUAAAUCUCUUGGAAAUAAAGCAUUUGAAAGAAAUAGGCUGGCAUUAGGGAUGAUAAACCAAAUUUAACAAAGAUUACAGGAUAGAGAUUUGCAGAUUUCAUUUUCUUGCAAAAAGACUACGGGAACAAGUUGCAUGACCAGGUCCUUCAGAUACAGUAUUAGAGAUCAUCAACAGGCGCACCAUUAAGGAUCUACUUCUCCAGUUUUUGUGAGACCUCUUUGCAUUCGAAGGAUCUCCUUUCUUUCCAAUCAUUCCUUUAUUAUUCAGUAGUUCUUUGAGGUAUCCGUGGACUUGUAUCGGUACCUUCUUAUGAGUCACUUAGAGGUUUUAUAGACAGAGUAGAAUUGAGUAGAAGGAUUCUUUCAGAAUCUAUUUUUUUAAACCAUAAUCUUAUUAUUGAGUUUAUGACAUUGAGUAUAUUAUACUUUGAGUAUUUUAAAUCUAUUAUUUUCUUAUUUAUGAAGAUGUUUUAAAUGUCCACUUGAGUUAAUUAUCUAUUGAGUCGAGUCUUCCGCUGAGUGCUUGAAUGAGUGAUCAGAUCAAGUGGUUCGCUUAGGGCAGUAAUGGUCUCCAAGUGCCAGCCACACCUAGGGUAUCCUAUUAGAGCGUGACAACACUCCUGGUUAUCUGAAGACCUCGAGACAAACAUCCCUCUUCAGAAUACUUCAAAACCCUCUUCGCCUACUGAUAUUGAGAUUGAUAAUGAUGCGGAUAUAGCUCUAAACCCUAUAUGUACAAAUAUUAUGACUGUUCCAAUCCCUGGCACCCAAAAGAAGCAUGCCCUCAAACCACUGGCGAAAACACUACCAAAACCCUCUCCGUCUCUCCCUCUAAGAAUUCCCUUUACCAGAAAAAAGGUGGCUGAAGCCUAAUUGGUAGCAGAAAAAAGGAGGGCUCGCAUAGCCGGAGGAAAAAGAAGAUAGGAGAUAAUGAUGAGCCAAUUGAAGAAGAUGAAGAAGAAGAAGUUUGUACUCCUCAAGUUGGUAGAAACAAGAAUUAUGAGAGAUUCCCUCACCUUGGACCACAUGCGUACUAUGCCACUCAGACUUUUCUGAAGGGAAAGGUUCUGAACGAUGAGGUAAUGUCUAAUCCUUUUAUUGUGCGAAUGGUAGAUAGGUUAUUUUUUCAGGGAUGGGAGCAUAUGUUUAGGGUUUUUUGUCAUGUGAUGUAUAAAGAGGAGGUGGUUAAGUUUUAUGCGAAUUUGAAAAUAUUUGAUGAAUUAGUAGUAAGUAGUAAAGUUAGAGGAGUUGAAAUGGUGUUUGAUGUUGUUAAGUUGGGUGAAAUCUUGGGUAUUCCUUCACAAGGGCUGGAGUAAUAUGUCUGGAAACAUGAUAAUGACUGUAUGUUAACUAGUAAAUUCACUAAAGGGAAAGAAAAGAGGGUGCCUAGGAAAGUUCUAAAAGAAGAAAUAUGUCCUGACCAUAAAUUAUUAUUUGAAAUUGUCAAUAAAGAAAUCUUAUUGGGGGCGGAGGGAGGGGGGAAGACACGAGGCCAGUAUUAGGGACAUGGGGAUAAUGAAUGCUUUGAAUUUGAAUGAUAAGAUCAACUUUCCCGCAUUGAUGAUCAAGCAUAUGGGCAGAGUUAUCUCUCAUAAAAUUGGGUCACAUGGACUUGCGUAUGGGUUUCUCCCUACUGAUGCAUUCAAAAGCUUUGGGAUAUCACUUGGAAAGGGGACUAUGGGUACUAGAAAUGACAGGAUCACACCUUUUACUUUGGAGGAGUGUGAUUGUGUUUCAGCUCCCUUGUCUAAGAAAAAGAUUCCAUCCCCAUGACCUAAUCUUUGCUGGAAUUACACGAUGCUCUCAGAGUGAUUACACAGUUGAAGGAAGAAAAUGCUGAUUUAAGGGAGUGCUUGACAGCCUCACAGGCUCAGGUGUAUGCCCUCAAGACUAAGAUGAUUGAUCUGCAGGCUAAGCAUGUACAAAAUAUUCAGUCAUUGAUGAAUCUUCUUUCAAAUCCCAAGUCCUCUUCCUGAUCCUUCCUAGCCUUCCCAAGAUGUUUCCUUGCUUCUCUCUCUUUUGUUUCCUUAUCCUGGUUCUCAAUAUUAGACAUUGUUACAAGUUUUUGUGUAUUUUUUAACUGUUUUUUGAUUGGGGUCUUAGUAAUGGCUUAAAUUGUGUAUAUGUGAUGUAGAUUGACUACUCUAAGUUCUUAUGUUUUGAUUGCUUGGUAAAAUGGUACUGUCUUUCUUUGAUUUCUAUUUCUUUCACUGGUUAUUAUUCUUGUUUUUUUAUGAUGUCAAAAGGGAGAAGAUAGAUAGAUAUACACAUUUGUGCUGAGUUGUUGAUACAAUUGCAGGUUUUGACAAAAAUAGAAUACGUAAAGUGUAUAGGUUUGUCAUCAUCAAAAAGGAGGAAAUUGAAGAGUGAAGAGGAGUAGUCACGUGGAAUUUACAGGUUUUGAUGAGACAAAGUUUAUUUUUGAUAAUUCUAGUUGAACAAGGAAAAGAGUAUAAAUGAGCAAUGCAAACCAACUAGGAAAAGGGAAGCUUACGUUACUGCAGCAACCAUGUCCAAGUAGGAGUUCACUUCGAAAUUCUAGUUCAAAUAAGAUUCAAGAUUCUUGAGUCUAUAUAAACCAUUGAAGGCCAUACAGAGAACAGACACAUACACGAAUAGAGAGCAGCUUGAAGAAAGGCAAUACGCAUUGUUCAAGAGUUAUUUGUGAGACAGGAUAAAAGCUAGGUUAUAUUGUUUUAUUUUUGAGUGUUUGCUGCCAGGAGUGAGUUUGACUUCUUGUAUUAGAUAGGAAUAGUUGAAACAAUUCUAGUGAAUUAUUUGUGUGUUUAGGUACUUGAGUGAGUUCCUUUGAUUAUUAGUUGUAAUCAUAAAACUUUGAGUUGUAAAGAUAAUAGAAGGUGUGAUUGUUACUCCUCUAGCGAGGAGGUUUUCCACUAAAAGAUCUUUGUGUUUUUAUUACUA